AUUGCCUCAGUAACGGCGAGUGAAGCGGCAACAGCUCAAAUUUGAAAUCUGGGCCUAGGCCCGAGUUGUAAUUUGCAGAGGAUGCUUUUGGCGAGGUGCCUUCCGAGUUCCCUGGAACGGGACGCCAUAGAGGGUGAGAGCCCCGUCUGGUCGGACACCGAGCCUCUGUAAAGCUCCUUCGACGAGUCGAGUAGUUUGGGAAUGCUGCUCUAAAUGGGAGGUAUAUGUCUUCUAAAGCUAAAUACCGGCCAGAGACCGAUAGCGCACAAGUAGAGUGAUCGAAAGAUGAAAAGCACUUUGAAAAGAGAGUUAAAUAGCACGUGAAAUUGUUGAAAGGGAAGCGUUUAUGACCAGACUUGGCCCGGUUGAUCAUCCAGCGUUCUCGCUGGUGCACUCUGCCGGUCCAGGCCAGCAUCAGUUCGUCGCGGGGGAUAAAGGUUUCGGGAAUGUGGCUCCUCCGGGAGUGUUAUAGCCCGUUGCGUAAUACCCUGUGGUGGACUGAGGUCCGCGCUUCUGCAAGGAUGCUGGCGUAAUGGUCAUCAACGACCCGUCUUGAAACACGGACCAAGGAGUCGUCUUCGUAUGCGAGUGUUCGGGUGUAAAACCCCUACGCGUAAUGAAAGUGAACGCAGGUGAGAGCUUCGGCGCAUCAUCGACCGAUCCUGAUGUUCUCGGAUGGAUUUGAGUAAGAGCAUACGGGGCCGGACCCGAAAGAAGGUGAACUAUGCCUGUAUAGGGUGAAGCCAGAGGAAACUCUGGUGGAGGCUCGCAGCGGUUCUGACGUGCAAAUCGAUCGUCAAAUAUGGGCAUGGGGGCGAAAGACUAAU
rnacentral:rRNA from 1 species